rnacentral:rRNA from 1 species
UACGUAGGGUGCGAGCGUUAAUCGGAAUUACUGGGCGUAAAGUGUGCGCAGGCGGCAGAGCAAGUCGAGUGUGAAAUCCCUCGGCUUAACCGGGGAACUGCGUCUGAUACUGGAUGGCUUGAGUUUGGGAGAGGGAUGCGGAAUUCCAGGUGUAGCGGUGAAAUGCGUAGAUAUCUGGAGGAACACCGGUGGCGAAGGCGGCAUCCUGGACCAACACUGACGCUGAGUGAGCGAAAGCCAGGGGAGCAAACGGG